rnacentral:lncRNA from 1 species
UUUACAUGUUCUCACCUCCCCCACCAUUUUUCAGGUAUCGCGGGCGAUAAGUAGUGGGACGAGACGUGAGGUACGUGUGUAGCUGUCGAUAGAGCUUCCAAACCAGAUUAUUUCGAUUUAGUUAUUAUCCUUGGUAUUUCUGUUGAUAUAUAGUUUAGUUAGUUUAUGUGGUUCAGUAUUUAUUUACAUUUGAAAAUGUGGAUUUCUGGAUUUUGUAAAAUAAAAGGUUUUCUACCCCUCGUGGUAGCGUUUUUAAUAGAAUAAAGGUUUCUGUAUAGGAAACAGUUUUCAAAAAAUUUUCGUGGAUUUCUGUUUAAACCUUGAAUGUAAAACUGUGAUGUGAAUGGUGAAUGUAUGAAUGUAUAGUUAUUUUUAUAUUCAUCUGGUUGUGGUUGUAUCCUGGUUGUACUGUGUAUUUGAUCGAUGCCGUGCAAAUACAAGGGAGACUCUGUCCGUGUGAACAGUGGAUUCCCUGUAUUUGUGGCGGAUCUGGCAUACUCUGGGGUCAGGUUUUCAAAAAAAAAAAAAAUUCAGACGCUUUCCGCUUUGUUUUAAACUGAAAAGGGACCCCGGGGCGUGACAGUUUUAUAUAUUAUGAGAUUUUAGUAGUAGUGCUUCAAUGCUUGUUAAAAUAGAUUCAUUUAAUUUCAGUAUAGGUU